CAGACUAACAAGUGCGUUGUUACAGUGUGCCUUCUUUUUCUGAUCAGGGUCGUUCCCGUCGUGAAGGGAAGCGCCGAGAGCUUUAAAGCCACAAGAGGGCAUGUUCUCUGUCACGUUGAUCCCCUUGACUGCUGCCCAUGCAACUUCACGUCGACAGUGUGUAUUUAGUACAUUGAUGUUCCAGGUUCUGCUGAGAACUGAAAUGAUUCCACAGCGUCUUUGUCACCUUCACACUCUCCUCUUGCUGCACAAGAGCCCAUUACUCACAAAGGUGUUGAUGAGUUACACAAGACAGACUGUUGUCUGCCUCACGCAGUACAAGGCUACCAAGGUCAUUUGAUACUAUCAAAGAGCUGGUAACGUAAGACGGAUUUGAAAUAGCUCCAUAUUACGUGGUGAAAUCCUGGAGUCAUCCUUCUCUUUGGAAAGAAGACUUAAUACUUCAAAGGUGACAUGAAGGUGAGAAUCCAGCAUACUCCAUUGUACCUCAGAUAUCUGUGUGCCUUAUGUGCAGGCAUAGCCUCACCUGGGUGUCCAAUCUGCAUUUGUUCUGUUAAAUAUAGCUUAAAGUUACUGUAUUUGCCUUCUUCCUUGGGGAAGAAAAAACAAUGUGUUUAGUCUCUUUGUUUCUUUGCUGUUUCUGAGAUUACAAUGGAAACAUUCAUGCUUUUCCUUUCAGUAAGGUCUCCUCAAUGAUGUUACUACUGUUGGGUCUGGCUUUUUUCUCAGGCUUGAAGAGUAACAGUAACUUCAAGUACAUUCCCGUUUUGAAAAGAGACUGUAAAAAUGGCAUCAAGGGCUCCUUUUUCCUUCUCACUAAGGCUGUGCCAGUACUGGCUGCAGACAUCAAAUAGAAAUUACUUUGCAAAGCUGAUGGUGCGCAAGGGACCAGCCUCCUUGAUGAAAACCAAGCCUUGCUGAAAGCACAGUUUGCACCCUGAAUGCAUGUGGGCAGGAGCUGGAUGAAUAAGAGAGAAAGUGGAUGACUUAGUUGAGGUUCUAAAGGAAUCGAGGGAGAAACUGAUAAGCAAAAUAAACCAGCUCUCCAUAACAGCUGGUAUUUGGGAGGUCCUUGUUCCCAUCCUGAGAUGGUGAUCUUCUGACUAAGCAUCUGCUCCUAUCUCUUCCGUGUGAAGUUUGGCAUACCCUUUCACAUUAGUUUGCUGUUUGGUUCUAACUAUGCCGUCUUGAACUUCUUCAUCUUUUCAAGGCAAACAUGGGUUUUGCUCCAUGACAGAUGACUUUAAAAACUCGAGUGGACAAGCAUUUUUAAUUAGAGUCAAACCAAAGUCAAAUCAGGCUGAAAUAAACUGCAUUCUGUUCUAGCACAUUAGCCCUUAAAUAAAUAGCAAGAAGCCUGGGCUGCCCUUGUACAGCAGGUGGCAUUACAGGUAAUAUUUAUCAUACUCCAAUCCCAAGGCUAAGAUAGCAGGGAGGGAGCAUUGACGUCAGCUACAAGUGAAUCAGUCUUAAUACAAGCUGAAAAACUGCUUGUGCCUUCCACAGUUGAUGACAUUGCACAGCACUUCUGCUUAGAGUUCCCCAUUGCAUUUAUUGGUCUGAGCAAGCCUAGCAGGAAGAGCUCAUUUUGUUUUGCAGCUUAACUGAACUGGUUGGAAGUGGAUCUUGGACUUUGAGGUGGGAAGAUUCCAUCCAGCUGCAGUAACCAGGGGAAUGCCCUUUGCCCUAGUUUUUGUGCCAAAUUUGUGCAUUUGAGAAUUUUAAACAAAUAUCACUUGGCAGGAUAUCAACCCUCAGGGUACAAGAAUAAUGCAGAGUGAGGCUGCAGAAGGGCAUGUCCUGGAAGGGAUUUAUGGGAGACCUAUCAGGACUCAUACUGAACAGUGGGAAAAACCAAACGCCCUGUUUCAUUUCAAACGGUUGUUCUUUGUCUCAUGGGAGCUGAGUGAGCUUCUGAAUGAAAACCAACAGCAGUUUUGCAUCUGGGCACAGUGUGAGUGAAAGAGUACAGUGCAGGAGUGAAAGAGUUCAGCAGUGGUCACUAAUUCUCAUAUGGAAGAUGCCACCUUCCUCGUGUCUGGGUGCUGAGCAGGGAUUGAGGAGCAUGAGCUAGCGUGGGAGCCCUUACUGAAACAUGGGGCUGUGCUCUACCAAGUGUGUUUGACAGCCUUGUGCUCACACUGAGUUUCCCAACCCGUGGCUGAUUGGCAAAGCAGUACAGAGAGUGUCUCAUCCAGCUCUGGGAAACACACCAUGCUUCCAACCAAACCUGGGUUCUCCAUGGCUCAACACAGUGUGUUCCCAGAGCUGGAUGGCAGUGUGCACCCAGCCACUGCAGGACACAUCAGCCUGUGCUACCCAGAGCUGCCCAGCAUUGCACAAGCUGUUAAUGAAAUGGGGGUGAGGCCAGGCUGGACUUAUCCUAGAAGGGAACUGGACAAGAAGGUGGAAGAAUGAGAGCGAGGCAGGGAAAGAAUGACUCUGGAGGAAACUCUUGACAAUAUGUGCUUCCCUUUCCUGCUAGUGAUACAGGAGGGGUGAGGCAGCAAUGCUUGUGGUGGAGGAGAGCCACCUUGCCAGUGCUGUUUGUCAUCUCACACACCCUGAUAGGCCUUGGCAGCAGCACACCCUUAUCUCCAGUGCACUGGCAAAUUUGUCUGGGCAGUGAGUUCCCAGCUCACCAAGGCCUGGGCUGCUCUUUGUGUUCACUGCACGCUCCUUCUCCGCAUUAAUUAAUUUGGUAGUGAGUUUGGAUACCACUUCAGCUUUAGGUGGAAAAUCUUCAGGCAUCGCUUAAGCCUUUUGUGGCUUAAAGGGAAUAUUGUCUCUGUCAAGAUGCACAGCAAGUGAAAUGCCUCCUGUCUCUUAGUGCUGUUAUAAUGACGGUGCUGGGCUGGGUCUGUGAGUGUGUCGCUGCUCUUCCUUUCACUGGAGCCAGCCUGAGGUUCAGGUUUCACACCUGCCUCUGCUUUAUUUAUGCCUAUUGUGUUAUAUUUACAUAUCUCGGGUUAUGGAACGUGGCAGCAGCCUCCUCGGGAAGCAUUAAGUGAAUUCACAUGUGUUGUGCACUGACCUGCUGGGGACUUCCCAAAGGACAUGCCCUUUCCUUGUCCACAAGCAGCACAGAGGAGCUGCAGAAGACAAGGAACUGGGUUUCUGAGUGCAAGUGGCUGUAUAAAGCUGUGAUGCCUUGAAGUUGUCAGUGUCUUUGAAGUUGCACAGGGGGACACUGGAAAGUUGUGUUGUUGCCUCUGGAUCAUGCUCACCUGCAAUUACCAUGAUGUUCGUGGGUUUUGCAUUGAUGACUGUGUGCUAUGGCCUUCUGCUGAGGGCUUUAUUUGGCAUUUCACAUCCCUGCUCCAAAACAUUCUCCACUUUCAUGGAUUUCCACAGAAGCCACACAAACAUCACGUGCCACAGUGAGCUGGCACUAUCCCUCACUGCACCC